rnacentral:rRNA from 1 species
AGAGUUUGAUCAUGGCUCAGGACGAACGCUUGCGGCGUGCCUAAGAAAUGCAAGUCGAACGGGCAGAGGACUUCGGUCCUUUGUCAGUGGCGAACGGUCGCGUAACACGUAAGCAACCUGCCCCGAAGUGGGGGAUAACAGCUCGAAAGGGCUGCUAAUACCGCAUGUGGCCAGUGCAUCGCCUGAUGAACUGGCCAAAGGCAAGUACUCGUACUUGUCGCUUCGGGAUGGGCUUGCGGCCUAUCAGUUAGUUGGUGGGGUAACGGCCUACCAAGGCGUUGACGGGUAGCUGGUCUGAGAGGAUGGUCAGCCGGAUUGGGACUGAGACACGGCCCAGACUCCUACGGGGGGCAGCAAUUAGGAAUCUUGCGCAAUGGGGGCAACCCUGACGCAGCGACGCCGCGUGCGGGAUGACGGGCUUCGGCCUGUAAACCGCUUUUGAAGGGGAAGAACACUGACGGUACCCUUCGAAUAAGCCCCGGCUAACUACGUGCCAGCAGCCGCGGUAAUACGUAGGGGGCGAGCGUUGUCCGAAGUUACUGGGCGUAAAGCGCGCGUAGGCGGCUCUUUAAGUCCGGCGUGAAAGGUUCAGGGCUCAACCCGAACAGUGCGCUGGAGACUGGGGAGCUUGAGGACGGGAGAGGGAAGCGGAAUUCCGGGUGUAGCGGUGAAAUGCGUAGAUAUCCGGAGGAACACCGAUGGCGAAGGCAGCUUCCUGGUCCGUAUCUGACGCUGAGGUGCGAAAGCGUGGGGAGCGAACGGGAUUAGAUACCCCGGUAGUCC